CUGCCUGUAAGACUGGGAUAACUCCGGGAAACCGGGGCUAAUACCGGAUGGUUGUUUGAACCGCAUGGUUCAAACAUAAAAGGUGGCUUCGGCUACCACUUACAGAUGGACCCGCGGCGCAUUAGCUAGUUGGUGAGGUAACGGCUCACCAAGGCAACGAUGCGUAGCCGACCUGAGAGGGUGAUCGGCCACACUGGGACUGAGACACGGCCCAGACUCCUACGGGAGGCAGCAGUAGGGAAUCUUCCGCAAUGGACGAAAGUCUGACGGAGCAACSCCGCGUGAGUGAUGAAGGUUUUCGGAUCGUAAAGCUCUGUUGUUAGGGAAGAACAAGUACCGUUCGAAUAGGGCGGUACCUUGACGGUACCUAACCAGAAAGCCACGGCUAACUACGUGCCA
rnacentral:rRNA from 2 species